rnacentral:rRNA from 1 species
CAGUCGAGCGGACGGAUGGGAGCUUGCUCCCUGAAGUCAGCGGCGGACGUGUGAGUAACACGUGGGCAACCUGCCUGUAAGACUGGGAUCUUUUUAGAGAACCGGGGCUAAUACCGGAUAAUUCUUCCCUUCACAUGAGGGGGAGCUGAAAGAUGGUUUCGGCUAUCACUUUCCCCUGGGCCCGCGGCGCAUUAGCUAGUUGGUGAGGUAACGGCUCACCAAGGCGACGAUGCGUAGCCGACCUGAGAGGGUGAUCGGCCACACUGGGACUGAGACACGGCCCAGACUCCUACGGGAGGCAGCAGUAGGGAAUCUUCCGCAAUGGACGAAAGUCUGACGGAGCAACGCCGCGUGAGUGAUGAAGGUUUUCGGAUCGUAAAACUCUGUUGUCAGGGAAGAACAAGUGCCGGAGUAACUGCCGGCACCUUGACGG